rnacentral:tRNA from 3 species
CCUCGGUGUGGUUCGGAGCGGCGGCACCGCUCGGGCUGAUGGCCCCGGCCCUGCGCCGGGCGGGCGCCCGGCGGAUCGUCGCCACCACCCACGG